rnacentral:tRNA from 1 species
UAUAGCUCAGUUGAUAGAGUGCGUGCCUCAAAUAAUGCACAAGGCCCUGGGUUCAAUCCCCAGUA